UUUGAGGAGGUUAGAGUAAGACCAUUUAUUGGCAUCUGACAUCCUUAUUUUGUUUUGCUUUGUGAGAUUGGAGUAAGACCAUUUAUUGGCGUCCGGUAUCAUUGGUUCAUUUUAGGAGAUUGGUGUAAGUCCAUUUAUUGGUAUCCGGCAUCCGCCUUUGUGUGAGAUUGGAGUAAGACCAUUGAUGGCAUCCGGUAUCACCUUGUUUUUUUUAACUUGUUUUGUCCCUCAUUCCAAAGGACACACUUGAAUCAUCUUCUAU
rnacentral:lncRNA from 1 species